GUUCCAACUAGAUUAAGUGUAAGCAUGUACUAAAUUUAUCCUUCCCCAUCAAGAGAAAUUCAGCCUUUCCAACUAAUCAAUUUUUUUAUUCGAUUGGUGUAUUAAAAGCAAAAAAUUAUUUUCAACAAGAGAGUUUAAAUUAGUGGUAUUAAUUCCCAAGUAUUUAAUUUGAUGAGCCCAGGUCAGACCAUAUUAUUUCGUAUACACUUCCACCACUUUUGUUUGCAACUUUUUAGUUCAAAAUACUGAUUUAUCUAGAUUAAUUUUGUGGCCUGAAUUAGCAUAUAAAUCUAUUUCUAAAAUGAAUGCUUUCAAUCAAUGUUCAGGGUCUUCUAAAGUUAAUAGUAGAUCAUCUGCAUAUAAGUUCAGUUUACUUUUACUGUUAGCUGUAUAGAAACCCUUAA